CUGGAAGACAUAUAUUCAGUGUGCUCAGCUGCUCAUUAAAGCAAAUAUUUUAUCAGCCAAUCACACUGCAGAAACUCAUUGCAUUGAGAAAUGUGGACAUGGUUAAGGGGACCUGCUGUAGUUCAAACCAAGUAUCAGAACAGGGAAAGAACAGCGACCUAAAUGACUCUGAAUGUGACUUGGUUGCUGGUGCCAGACGGGCUGGUUGAGUAGUCCGCAAGCUGUUAAUCUGUUGGGAGUUUCAUGCACAACCAUCUCCAGGGUUUCCAGAGAAAUGUUUCAGAAAGAAGAAACAUCCAGCAAGAAGUGCUUCUCUGAACAACAACAACAAAAAAAACCCCUACACCGUUAAUGGCGGACUGGUUUGAGCUGAUACGAAAGCACCAAUAACUCAAAUAACUUGUUACAAUCAAGGUAUUCAGAGGAGCAUCUCUGAAUGUGGAACGCACUACCUUCUAUCAGCUACGAACAGGAAACUAUGGUAGUAGUGAGCACAGCUCACCACAACUGGAAAAUGGGACAUUGGGAAAAAUAUGGCCUGGUGUGAUGAUUUUUGAUUUCUGCUUCGACAUUCAGAUGGUUGGGUCAGAACUUGGCAAAAACAACCUGAAAGCAUGGAUCCAUUCUGUACUGCAUUCAAGAUGGUGGCGGUGUAUUGUUUAAUA